rnacentral:rRNA from 1 species
UGUAUAAUGGGUCAGCGACUUAUAUUCUGUAGCAAGGUUAACCGAAUAGGGGAGCCGAAGGGAAACCGAGUCUUAACUGGGCGUUAAGUUGCAGGGUAUAGACCCGAAACCCGGUGAUCUAGCCAUGGGCAGGUUGAAGGUUGGGUAACACUAACUGGAGGACCGAACCGACUAAUGUUGAAAAAUUAGCGGAUGACUUGUGGCUGGGGGUGAAAGGCCAAUCAAACCGGGAGAUAGCUGGUUCUCCCCGAAAGCUAUUUAGGUAGCGCCUCGUGAAUUCAUCUCCGGGGGUAGAGCACUGUUUCGGCAAGGGGGUCAUCCCGACUUACCAACCCGAUGCAAACUGCGAAUACCGGAGAAUGUUAUCACGGGAGACACACGGCGGGUGCUAACGUCCGUCGUGAAGAGGGAAACAACCCAGACCGCCAGCUAAGGUCCCAAAGUCAUGGUUAAGUGGGAAACGAUGUGGGAAGGCCCAGACAGCCAGGAUGUUGGCUUAGAAGCAGCCAUCAUUUAAAGAAAGCGUAAUAGCUCACUGGUCGAGUCGGCCUGCGCGGAAGAUGUAACGGGGCUAAACCAUGCACCGAAGCUGCGGCAGCGACACUAUGUGUUGUUGGGUAGGGGAGCGUUCUGUAAGCCUGUGAAGGUGGCCUGUGAGGGUUGCUGGAGGUAUCAGAAGUGCGAAUGCUGACAUAAGUAACGAUAAAGCGGGUGAAAAGCCCGCUCGCCGGAAGACCAAGGGUUCCUGUCCAACGUUAAUCGGGGCAGGGUGAGUCGACCCCUAAGGCGAGGCCGAAAGGCGUAGUCGAUGGGAAACAGGUUAAUAUUCCUGUACUUGGUGUUACUGCGAAGGGGGGACGGAGAAGGCUAUGUUGGCCGGGCGACGGUUGUCCCGGUUUAAGCGUGUAGGCUGGUUUUCCAGGCAAAUCCGGAAAACCAAGGCUGAGGCGUGAUGACGAAGCACUACGGUGCUGAAGCGACAAAUGCCCUGCUUCCAGGAAAAGCCUCUAAGCAUCAGGUAACAUCAAAUCGUACCCCAAACCGACACAGGUGGUCAGGUAGAGAAUACCAAGGCGCUUGAGAGAACUCGGGUGAAGGAACUAGGCAAAAUGGUGCCGUAACUUCGGGAGAAGGCACGCUGAUAUGUAGGUGAAGCGACUUGCUCGUGGAGCUGAAAUCAGUCGAAGAUACCAGCUGGCUGCAACUGUUUAUUAAAAACACAGCACUGUGCAAACACGAAAGUGGACGUAUACGGUGUGACGCCUGCCCGGUGCCGGAAGGUUAAUUGAUGGGGUUAGCGGCAACGCGAAGCUCUUGAUCGAAGCCCCGGUAAACGGCGGCCGUAACUAUAACGGUCCUAAGGUAGCGAAAUUCCUUGUCGGGUAAGUUCCGACCUGCACGAAUGGCGUAAUGAUGGCCAGGCUGUCUCCACCCGAGACUCAGUGAAAUUGAACUCGCUGUGAAGAUGCAGUGUACCCGCGGCAAGACGGAAAGACCCCGUGAACCUUUACUAUAGCUUGACACUGAACAUUGAGCCUUGAUGUGUAGGAUAGGUGGGAGGCUUUGAAGUGUGGACGCCAGUCUGCAUGGAGCCGACCUUGAAAUACCACCCUUUAAUGUUUGAUGUUCUAACGUGGGCCCCUAAUCGGGGUUGCGGACAGUGUCUGGUGGGUAGUUUGACUGGGGCGGUCUCCUCCUAAAGAGUAACGGAGGAGCACGAAGGUUGGCUAAUCCUGGUCGGACAUCAGGAGGUUAGUGCAAUGGCAUAAGCCAGCUUGACUGCGAGCGUGACGGCGCGAGCAGGUGCGAAAGCAGGUCAUAGUGAUCCGGUGGUUCUGAAUGGAAGGGCCAUCGCUCAACGGAUAAAAGGUACUCCGGGGAUAACAGGCUGAUACCGCCCAAGAGUUCAUAUCGACGGCGGUGUUUGGCACCUCGAUGUCGGCUCAUCACAUCCUGGGGCUGAAGUAGGUCCCAAGGGUAUGGCUGUUCGCCAUUUAAAGUGGUACGCGAGCUGGGUUUAGAACGUCGUGAGACAGUUCGGUCCCUAUCUGCCGUGGGCGCUGGAGAACUGAGGGGGGCUGCUCCUAGUACGAGAGGACCGGAGUGGACGCAUCACUGGUGUUCGGGUUGUCAUGCCAAUGGCACUGCCCGGUAGCUAAAUGCGGAAGAGAUAAGUGCUGAAAGCAUCUAAGCACGAAACUUGC